rnacentral:rRNA from 1 species
CCUAGGGGGGCUGCAGUGGGGAAUAUUGGACAAUGGGCGAAAGCCUGAUCCAGCCAUGCCGCGUGUGUGAAGAAGGCCUUCGGGUUGUAAAGCACUUUCAGUGGGGAAGAAAGCCUUGGGGCUAAUACCCUCGAGGAAGGACAUCACCCACAGAAGAAGCACCGGCUAACUCCGUGCCAGCAGCCGCGGUAAUACGGAGGGUGCGAGCGUUAAUCGGAAUUACUGGGCGUAAAGCGCGCGUAGGCGGUCUGAUAAGCCGGUUGUGAAAGCCCCGGGCUCAACCUGGGAACGGCAUCCGGAACUGUCAGGCUAGAGUGCAGGAGAGGAAGGUAGAAUUCCCGGUGUAGCGGUGAAAUGCGUAGAGAUCGGGAGGAAUACCAGUGGCGAAGGCGGCCUUCUGGACUGACACUGACGCUGAGGUGCGAAAGCGUGGGUAGCAAACAGGAUUAGAUACCCUAGUAGUC